GCUUAAAUAGCUUAAUAAGAGUGUUACAUUGAAGAGGUAGAGGUGAGUUUUCUUUAAGUA
rnacentral:tRNA from 1 species